UGGGAGGGGGCGGGGCCGUUACUGUGGGACAGGGGCCUAUCUCCCUGCCCCCCCCACCCUCACGCACGGCACCCUCACGCCCUUGUCUGGGUGGUUCCGUCAAUGACCACCACCCUCCAUGGGCUGCUUCUGGUCUUAAAUCCAUCUGAUUUCCUGUUUCCUUCCUCCCCCGCCUGCCAGGCCGCUGUGGUUUGGCGUUGCGUCCUGGAGCUGGCUGUGGCAAACACGCCAUUGUCCACACGCCCACAGAGCAGGUCCAGGAGAGCAGGUCCUCUCGAGAGGAGCUUUACUUUGACAGAGGCCUGGGCUCGCCAAAGGCAGGCUGCUGCCCUGGGGAGCAAGCGACUACAUCGAUUUUGGUCCUGGUCUCGAAGAGCAAGGUUUCUAUGCUGCCACCUUGACCCCUCCUGUGAGGAGGGGACACCGAGUGUCACUGGGAGAGAUGCCUGGUGCAGAGGACUCUGCCAAGGACACACAGACAGCUCCGCCAGAGCUCGCUCAGUUGGAGGAAAAAGGCAGAUUUUUGGGCCCCUCCAGCCCUAAAAUCGCAGCCAGCCCCAAUCCCCAAGUCUAAGACCUAAUGACUACAUUGAGUCCUGAGGCCCAAAGCAGGAGGAGACGUCCGGAACCCUGGGACUGAUCCGUGGAAAGUCUCCACUUCGCCACCCUGACAGCCAAGGCCAGGAGCUGCCCUGAGGUGGCCUCAGGCUACGUCAGCGCCAUCUCUUAGGAGGCCUUGAUGAGGUGAUCCUGGUCAGGCAUCACCUGUCCUAAGGCCCCAAAGGUCUUCCUGAGCAUUACGACUGUGAAUUCCCACAUCGGUCAAUGUUUGCAUCGUCACUUGUGAUAGCUGCGUAGGACUCUGUGACCUGGGUUCACCAUAAUCCAACUUACACUGUACCAGAG